rnacentral:rRNA from 1 species
GACGAACGCUGGCGGCGUGCCUAAUACAUGCAAGUCGAGCGGACUUGACAGAGCUUGCUCUGUUCAAGUUAGCGGCGGACGGGUGAGUAACACGUGGGCAACCUGCCCUGCAGAUUGGGAUAACUCCGGGAAACCGGGGCUAAUACCGAAUAACAUUGAAAACCUCAUGGUUUUCUUUUAAAAGGCGGCUUCGGCCGCCACUGCAGGAUGGGCACGCGGCGCAUUAGCUAGUUGGUGAGGUAACGGCUCACCAAGGCGACGAUGCGUAGCCGACCUGAGAGGGUGAUCGGCCACACUGGGACUGAGACACGGCCCAGACUCCUACGGGAGGCAGCAGUAGGGAAUCUUCCGCAAUGGACGAAAGUCUGACGGAGCAACGCCGCGUGAGUGAAGAAGGUUUUCGGAUCGUAAAACUCUGUUGUUAGGGAAGAACAAGUACCGGAGUAACUGCCGGUACCUUGACGGUACCUGACCAGAAAGCCACGGCUAACUACGUGCCAGCCGCCGCGGUAACAC